rnacentral:lncRNA from 1 species
CGAGAACUGAUCCCAACGAGAAUAGUCGGGUGGAUUCUGCCAAUCAAAAAGAUUUCCUCCGAUUAAAAGGUAUGGAAGUUCCAUCAUAGCGAGAGCUGAUGAUCGAACAAACUCUCUAUGAUGCCAAACUUAGUUCGAUAACUUUCUUAGGUAUAACAUAGUCGGUCAUUUCACUUUUUUCUUUGUUUAUUUUGGAAUUUUGUACUAACUUUUAUUUCUUUUUGAUUGCAGCUAUGUGGAGAGGGCAC